UUUUUUCAGAUAAACAUAUGAAGAGAAUAUUUUUUUAAUAAUUUAAAUUAGUAUUUUUAUUUAUGAUGUAAUUUUUAGUCGGAUCAAAUUUAUUAUUGAGUUGAUGGAUCAAUCCAAUCAUAAGGCAUAUGUAUUAUUCUCUUCUUAUGUAUUACUUCGUGAUUGGACUAGAAUGGUCUACCAGCUAAGCGAUAGUAUUGGUAAAUCAAUGAUCAGUCCUCCA
rnacentral:lncRNA from 1 species